CGUACACGGUGGAUGCCCUGGCAGUCAGAGGCGAUGAAGGACGUGCUAAUCUGCGAUAAGCGUCGGUAAGGUGAUAUGAACCGUUAUAACCGGCGAUUUCCGAAUGGGGAAACCCAGUGUGUUUCGACACACUAUCAUUAACUGAAUCCAUAGGUUAAUGAGGCGAACCGGGGGAACUGAAACAUCUAAGUACCCCGAGGAAAAGAAAUCAACCGAGAUUCCCCCAGUAGCGGCGAGCGAACGGGGAGCAGCCCAGAGCCUGAAUCAGUGUGUGUGUUAGUGGAAGCGUCUGGAAAGGCGCGCGAUACAGGGUGACAGCCCCGUACACAAAAAUGCACAUGCUGUGAGCUCGAUGAGUAGGGCGGGACACGUGGUAUCCUGUCUGAAUAUGGGGGGACCAUCCUCCAAGGCUAAAUACUCCUGACUGACCGAUAGUGAACCAGUACCGUGAGGGAAAGGCGAAAAGAACCCCGGCGAGGGGAGUGAAAAAGAACCUGAAACCGUGUACGUACAAGCAGUGGGAGCACGCUUAGGCGUGUGACUGCGUACCUUUUGUAUAAUGGGUCAGCGACUUAUAUUCUGUAGCAAGGUUAACCGAAUAGGGGAGCCGAAGGGAAACCGAGUCUUAACUGGGCGUUAAGUUGCAGGGUAUAGACCCGAAACCCGGUGAUCUAGCCAUGGGCAGGUUGAAGGUUGGGUAACACUAACUGGAGGACCGAACCGACUAAUGUUGAAAAAUUAGCGGAUGACUUGUGGCUGGGGGUGAAAGGCCAAUCAAACCGGGAGAUAGCUGGUUCUCCCCGAAAGCUAUUUAGGUAGCGCCUCGUGAAUUCAUCUCCGGGGGUAGAGCACUGUUUCGGCAAGGGGGUCAUCCCGACUUACCAACCCGAUGCAAACUGCGAAUACCGGAGAAUGUUAUCACGGGAGACACACGGCGGGUGCUAACGUCCGUCGUGAAGAGGGAAACAACCCAGACCGCCAGCUAAGGUCCCAAAGUCAUGGUUAAGUGGGAAACGAUGUGGGAAGGCCCAGACAGCCAGGAUGUUGGCUUAGAAGCAGCCAUCAUUUAAAGAAAGCGUAAUAGCUCACUGGUCGAGUCGGCCUGCGCG
rnacentral:rRNA from 1 species